CCUACGGGUGGCAGCAGUGGGGAAUAUUGCACAAUGGGGGAAACCCUGAUGCAGCGACGCCGCGUGAGUGAAGAAGUCUUUCGGUAUGUAAAGCUCUAUCUGCAGGGAAGAAAAUGACGGUACCUGACUGAGAAGCCCCGGCUAACUACGUGCAAGCAGCCGCGGUAAUACGUAGGGGGUCAGCGUUAUCCGGAUUUACUGGGGGUUAAGGGGGCGUAGAAGGGGCGGCGAGUCUGAAGUGAAAGGCAGGGGCUUAACCCCUGGACUGCUUGGGAAACUGCCAUGCUUGAGUGCUGGAGAGGUAAGUGGAAUUCCUAGUGUAGCGGUGAAAUGCGUAGAUAUUAGGAGGAACCCCAGUGGCGAAGGCGGCUUACUGGACAGCUACUGACGUUGAGGCUCGAAAGCGUGGGGAGCAAACAGGAUUAGAUACCCUGGUAGUC
rnacentral:rRNA from 1 species